AUAUGCCUGGGAUAUUUUCGUUGUGCAUUCUAUAUGGAAGUGUUUGGACUUUGCCGUAGCCAUGUUCCCAUGUUAAUGAUUUAUGAAGAAUGAACUUCUCUCAUGUCUAGUAGAAAAUUUUGAUUAAGCCUUUGUUUAACUGCAGCGAGAGUGUGAUUUGCUGGAAGUUUUUUUUUUGUCUCAUUUUCCUUAGGAAGGCUUUCUAGUUGUUUGAACAAUUAUUUCUCUACUUGCGCAAUUGGUCUUGAGGGUCAUGUGCAUAUGAUGUUUUGAGGAUUAUAAACUAUGAGGUGAUUUUUUGACGUCGUUGGUCGUUUUGUGUUGGUGACCUCAUAACCUUCUAUAUAGAACCUUCUAUAUAGAAGAGUUUGGACUUUUUUGUACCUAAGUUCUUGUGUUAAUGAUCUAUGAAGAAUAAACUUCUCUCAUGUCUUGCUAAAAAUUUUGAUUAAGCCUUAGUUUAGCAGCAGCAAGAGUGUGACUUGCUUGAAGUGUUAUUUUUGUCUUGUUUACCCAUUGGAGUCUUUAUACUUUGUUGAACAAUUAUUUCUCUACUUGUGCAAUUGGUCUCGAGAGUCGUUUUUAGGCAUAUGAUUUUUUGAAGAUUAUAAACUAUGACGUGACUUUUUGAGGUCUUUGGGGUUUUUGUGUUGGAGACCUUGUAACCUUCUUGGACAAGUAAUUUUUCAGAGUUUGUGAUCAGAUUAUGGUUGCCAAAGGAAAAUCAUCUUUGGGCAUUUGUGGCUGGUCUGUGUAGAUCUAUUUUUUGUAGAUCCUUUUUUAUGCUUGGCCGACUGAGUUGAGCACAAAUAAUUUUUUCUCUCUAGCACAAGCCUAUGAUUUAUUUCAAAGAUUUUGGCGGUGUGGUAUGACAUGUUUUCACGUUGGGUUCUGGCCUAAUUGGAUGUCCAAGAAGGAUUUGGUAUUCUUCUAUGGGAACACAUAUAUUACUAUCAUUUCCUUUGUCAUUGGUUGGUGGUAGGUUACCAGUGUGUAAAACGAUCUUUUCCUGUAUGGUAGGUUUGCUUUGUGACGAUGGGUGCAGAUUCGUUUUUCUGUUAGGAAAGCCUCUGUUCUGUAUGUGAUUUUUUCCGUAGGUUUUUUUGCCAUUGCCACAUAAUUUUUGUGUGGUGGGUUCGCUUGUGCAUAUAUAUCUUUUGCUUUUCAUCUAAAGGAGUACAAAUAUGUACACGUUGUUUUAGCUUAAAUGGCUUAGCCACCUUAAGCACAUAUAAGUUCUCUGAAACACGAUGUUGUGGCCUGUGUUCGAUUUAGGUCAUAGAUCCGUUUGGUGGAGUAUUGCCAUUUUGAUAGUGGGUUCUAGCGUAGUUGGUAUUUCGAGAAGGAUUUGGAACUUUUCUAUUUGAACAAAGAUAUGUAUUGUUAGCGGGAUAUGUGCUGGCCACACAUCAUAAGACUUCCCUUCUUUAGGUGAACAUAUAUGACAUGUAUUUAUAGUUGUAUAGAUCUUGUAAGUAGUCAUAGUAUCCUUAUUUAGACAGAUUCUAUUGCUGCAAAUGGCUUGAUUCUAGCCUUGUAAUGUGCACGACAGUGCCUUUAUAAUGAAAAGAAAUCCUCACAAAUGAGGUAAUCAGAGCCAUUACUUAGAAACUUGUUCUUUCCCGUGAGAUUUGUUUUUCAUUGGUGGGUGACAAUUUUGAGACUGUUGGCACUUUUUGUGAUUUUUUUGGUUGUGGUUGGGCUAUGACAUAUUUUUUCAUUGGUGGGUGACUGUUUUGACACUGUUGGUACUUUCUAUGAGGUUUGUGGUUGUCACUGGGCUGGGAUCUCAGUGAUCUCUUUUUUUUGAUUGUCUGCAUUUUCUGUGAAGAUUUGGUUGUUGGCAUCCUUCUUUUGGUUGGUUGUGGUUCUGUCGGCAUCCUCUGUUUGGCUUUAUGGUGGCUGGCACACAUUUGGUGGCUCGGUUUGUAGGUGCUAGGCUUUAGUCGGCACAUUUUGUGGUGAUUGGGCAGGUAUUCUUCUUGGUUGGACUUGUGUUUUUUUUCUGUUAUGAGCAUCAUGUCUUCAGACUUCUUUGCUGUGAAAUUCAUGGGUAAGAAAAUUCUGUCUCAGAAUUUCAAUUUCGCUUAUUUGUUAUGGGGAAAGAGUUAUGGGGUCAUAUAGAUGGUAGUGAUCCUGCUCCUACUGAGCUUCCUAGGUUGGCUUAGUGGAAGAUCAAAGAUGCUUGGGUGAUGACAUGGAUUUUAGGAUCUGUUGAUCCUCUUAUUGUUCUUAAUCUGUGGCCAUAAAAGACUGCUAAAUCUAUGUGGGAGUACUUAAGAAAAGAGUAUAAUCAGGACAAUUCUACUUGGCAUUUUCAAUUGGAGUACGAGAUCAUCAGUUACACUUAGGGCGAUCUCUCCAUUCAAGAUUAUUUUUCUGGGUUUUAUAAUCUUUGGGGAGAAUUUACUGACAUGAUUUAUGCCAAGGUACCAAAAAAAUCUCUCUAUUGUGCAGGAAGUUCAUGAACAAAGCAAGCAACUCAGUUCUUAAUGAAGUUACGAUCUGAAUUUGAGGCCACUCACUCCAAUUUGAUGAAUCAUGAUCCAUUACCUUCUUUGGAUGUUUGUUUUGGGGAGUUACUUCGUGAGGAACAGCGUCUUGCCACACAGGCCACUUGCCAGUAAGACAAAAUGAUACCAAAUGUAGUGGCUUAUGCUGCUCACGAGAAAGGCGGAUGAGACGUGAAAAAUUCAAUGUUUCAGCUACAAGAAAUACAACCAUAUUGCUGCUCAAUGUGCGUGGAAAUCUUGCAGCUACUGUAAGAAGCCAGGGCAUAUUAUCAAAGAACGUCCUAUUCGUCCUCAAAAUCGUCAGGCUAAUGCUUAUCAGGCUACUGAAGGUCCUUCCGCUAACUCUGCUAUUUCUGGUGAUGCAUCUCUCUUACUUCUGAGAUGGUCUAGCAGAUGAUUAUUUUAGCCUUUUCCGCUUUAGGACUCCAAGGUGGAAGGAAGUUUGGGCUUAUAGAUCGUCGCUAACUCAGAUUGCUAAUGUUGGUCAAUUAUCUAUUCAUGUUGUUGGUGAUAUUAAUUCCACAGUUAGAGAUAUUUUGUAUCUCCUGAGCUUCCUACUAGUCUCAUAUCAAUAGGACAUUUGGUUGAUAACAACUGUGGUGUUUCUUUUUCUCGUGAUGGUUGUCUUGUGCAGGAUCAGGUGUCGAGGAAGAUACUUGUGAAGAGGCCUAAAGUUUGAUGAUUGUUUCCUCUGCAUUUCUCUAUUCCAGCUAUUUCUUUUGCUUGUCUAAUUGUAAACAAUAAGGGUGAAGUAUGGCACCAACGCUUGGGCAAUAAAGAUCAAUUUUCAUCUCAUCUUUCUUUUGAUUGCUCCACAUGCAAAUUAGGUAAAAGUGAUCCGGACUCCCACUCCGUUGCUCGACGUUCAACCAGAGUAUCUCGUCCCCCUAAUCGCUUCUUGUCAAGGGUAAAGAACUCUAGGGUCAUGUUGAUGGGACUAUUCCAGCCCCUGAUAGUGCAAAGGAAUUGUCUACAUGGGAGAGGAAGGAUGUCAAGAUCAUGUCUUGAAUCCUAGGUUCUAUUGAGCCUCACAUCAUCUUCAAUCUACGACCCUACAAAACCUCCAAAGCUAUGUGGGAGUAUUUGAAGAGAAUCUACACUCAAAAUGAUUUAACUCAAAGAUUUCAGUUGGAAUUUGAGAUGACUAAUUUUUCUCAAGGUGGCUUAUCAGUGGAGGACUUCUAUUUUGAUUUUUCAAAUCCGUGCGCUGAAUACACUGACAUUGUGUAUUCUUCUAUCCCUGCCGAUGUUCUCCCUCAUGUGCAAAGUGUGCAUGAAACUAGGAGGGAUUGAUUUCUUAUAAAACUACGUUCAAAUUUUGAAUAUGUUCAUUCUUAGUUAAUGAAUAGAGAUCUAGUUCCCUCUCUUGAUGAUUGUUUGGGAGAUUUGCUUCGAGAGGAGCAAAGGUUACUUACUCGGAGUACAAUGGAACAACAACUGGCAUCUCCUGCUCAAGUGGCAUUUAUAGCACAAUGAAAAUCCAAGGGUCGAGACUAUAGCACUACACAAUGCUAUAGUUGCAAGGGACUUGGUCACAUUGCCACUCACUGUCCAAAUAAAUUUUGUAACUAUUGCAAAAAAUCUAGACAUAUUAUUAAGGACUGCCCAAUCUGACCUCCUCGAAAGCAAGAGAGUGCCUAUUCCACCUCUGUUGAAGUCUUGGGUGCAUCUUCUUUAGCUCCUGUUGUUGCCACUCAUGCUUCAGCACCUCUCGGUUCUAGUUAUACUACUCUUACUCCCGAUAUGGUAUAACAAAUGAUAAUUUCUGUCUUUUCUGCUUUAGGCAUCUCAGGUAAACCAAAGUCCUCCCCUAAUUCUUGACUAAUAGAUUGUAGUGCCUCAAAUCAUAUGACUAAUAAUUUCACCUUGUUGCACAAUCUUCAGUCCUAUGAUGGUCCUCUCAAAAUCCACACAGCAAAUGGUAGUUCACUACCAAUUUCUGCCAUGGGUGAUAUAUCCCCUAUCGUUCGAAAUCUUUUGGUUUCUCCUACUCUCCACAAGUUUACUUUCUGUUAGACAGUUUGUUGAAAAUAAUUGUAAUAUCUCUUUUUCAUCUUUUGGUUGUGUUGUACAGGAUCGAGUGUCCCAGAGGAUGAUCGCGAGGGGUCCUAAGGAGGGUCGGCUAUUUCCAAUAAAUCCUAGUUCAGCUUCUAUUGCGUCUAGUUCCUUUAUUUUUUGUAAUACUAUCAAAAUAAGUAUUAAGGAUUGAAAUCGACGUUUAGGACAACCCAAUCCUAAUAUACUUCAAACUUUGUUUAAAUCUGGUGUUAUUGACAAUAAAAAUGUUGUUUCAAUGGAAACAAUUUCUUUUGAUUGUACCUCUUGCAAACUUGCCAAAAGCAAAGUGCUACCAUUCCCAC